rnacentral:rRNA from 1 species
CGGGAGGCAGCAGUAGGGAAUCUUCCGCAAUGGACGAAAGUCUGACGGAGCAACGCCGCGUGAGUGAUGAAGGCUUUCGGGUCGUAAAACUCUGUUGUUAGGGAAGAACAAGUGCUAGUUGAAUAAGCUGGCACCUUGACGGUACCUAACCAGAAAGCCACGGCUAACUACGUGCCAGCAGCCGCGGUAAUACGUAGGUGGCAAGCGUUAUCCGGAAUUAUUGGGCGUAAAGCGCGCGCAGGUGGUUUCUUAAGUCUGAUGUGAAAGCCCACGGCUCAACCGUGGAGGGUCAUUGGAAACUGGGAGACUUGAGUGCAGAAGAGGAAAGUGGAA